CUUGUCCUAUGUUGCCAGCGCGUUAUGGGCGGGGACUCAUACAAGACUGCCGGGGUCAACUCGGAGGAAGGUGGGGAUGACGUCAAGUCAUCAUGCCCCUUACGUCCUGGGCUGCACACAUGCUACAAUGGCCGGUACAAUGGGCUGCGAUACCGCGAGGUGGAGCGAAUCCCAAAAAGCCGGUCUCAGUUCGGAUCGGGGUCUGCAACUCGACCCCGUGAAGUCGGAGUCGCUAGUAAUCGCAGAUCAGCAUUGCUGCGGUGAAUACGUUCCCGGGCCUUGUACACACCGCCCGUCACGUCAUGAAAGUCGGUAACACCCGAAGCCGGUGGCCUAACCCUUGUGGAGGGAGCCGUCGAAGGUGGGACCGGCGAUUAGGACGAAGUCGUAACAAGGUAACCGUACCGGAAGGUGCGGCUGGAUCACCUCCUUUCUAAGGAGCUUCUCACGGAGUUGUCCGUGGGGCCGGUUCCCGGCUGUGCAUGCCGGGCUGGUUUGCUCAGUGGCGUGGAAUGCUGACUUCAGAGGCUGUUUUUCGGCUGGUUCGGUGGCUAGUACUCUCUGCUCUUCGGGGUGGGGGUGGAACGGGCUGGCUGGUCGGGGAUGGUUUCGUGUGGCGCGCUGUUGGGUCCUGAGGGAGCGGAAAUCGUUUCUUCGGUGGCCAUCGACCCCCGGGUCUCCCUUUUGGGGAGGGUCGGGGGGUUGGCUGCGGUACGGACCAGUCCUUCUAGACAUCGGCCCCUGUGGGGGUGUCGGUACCCCUAGGGGUUGGGGUCGUCCGUUCUUUGAGAACUGCACAGUGGACGCGAGCAUCUGUGUGGCCAAGUUAGUAAGGGCAC
rnacentral:sRNA from 1 species